rnacentral:rRNA from 1 species
UACAUGGGGUGCAAACGUUGCUCGGAAUUAUUGGGCGUAAAGAGCUCGUAGGCGGUCUGUCGCGUCGGCUGUGAAAUCCCGAGGCUCAACCUCGGGUCUGCAGUCGAUACGGGCAAACUAGAGUAUUGCAGGGGAGACUGGAAUUCCUGGUGUAGCGGUGAAAUGCGCAGAUAUCAGGAGGAACACCGGUGGCGAAGGCGGGUCUCUGGGCAAUAACUGACGCUGAGGAGCGAAAGCGUGGGGAGCGAACAGG